GCGCGAGUGGCGGAACUGGCAGACGCGCUGGAUUUAGGUUCCAGUGUCCUAGGACGUGAGGGUUCGAGUCCCUUCUCGCGCACCA
rnacentral:tRNA from 1 species